rnacentral:rRNA from 1 species
AGAGUUUGAUCAUGCUCAGGAUGAACGCUGGCGGCGUGCUUAACACAUGCAAGUCGAACGGAGUUUUUAAACGGAAGUUUUCGGAUGGAAGUUUAGAAACUUAGUGGCGGACGGGUGAGUAACGCGUGGGUAACCUGCCUCAUACAGGGGGAUAACAGUUAGAAAUGACUGCUAACACCGCAUAAUAUAGCGAAACCGCAUGAUUUUUGCUAUCAAAUAUUUAUAGGUAUGAGAUGGGCCCGCGUCUGAUUAGCUAGUUGGUGGGGUAAAAGCCUACCAAGGCGACGAUCAGUAGCCGGCUUGAGAGAGUGACCGGCCACAUUGGGACUGAGACACGGCCCAAACUCCUACGGGAGGCAGCAGUGGGGAAUAUUGGACAAUGGGGGAAACCCUGAUCCAGCCGACGCCGCGUGAGUGAAGAAGUAUUUCGGUAUGUAAAGCUCUAUCGGCAGGGAAGAUAAUGACAGUACCUGACUAAGAAGCCCCGGCUAACUACGUGCCAGCCGCUGC